rnacentral:rRNA from 1 species
UACGUAGGGUGCAAGCGUUUGUCCGGAAUUAUUGGGCGUAAAGAGCUCGCAAGCGGUUUGUCGCGUCUGCUGUGAAAACCCGAGGCUCAACCUCGGGCCUGCAGUGGGUACGGGCAGACUAGAGUGCGGUAGGGGAGAUUGGAAUUCCUGGUGUAGCGGUGGAAUGCGCAGAUAUCAGGAGGAACACCAAUGGCGAAGGCAGAUCUCUGGGCCGUAACUGACGCUGAGGAGCGAAAGCAUGGGGAGCGAACAGG